UGGACCUGAUAUCAGGCAAGAUUACCCGCUGAACUUAAGCAUAUCAU
rnacentral:rRNA from 1 species